ensembl:lncRNA
GAAACAUUUUGAGGAAGUUGGUUUUGCCAGAAACAGGAAACCCUUCAGUUGCAGUUUAUUCAUCAAGACAAAAUGAGAAGUGCUGAAGAGACACACGGAACAAUCUCAUCAGAAGACCAGAAACACACCCAACUAACUCCUAAAUCGCAACAUGGAUUCUCAGCAGUUUUGGCAUCUUUUCUUCGUGUUUCCUUGGAUGUUUGUAUUUUGUCUCCCUUCUGUGUGUUCAGGAAUGAAUGCACCAAAAAUGCGCUUGGAGAACACUGUCUUUGUGGCCUUUGCAGGUGAAGAUCUCAGGAUUAACUGUGAGUUGGAGAAACCAGCAAACCAAUCUAAAGACAUCUUGAGGUGCUUCAGUCCUCACGGAGAAAUUUACCACUGUGACGUUGCUUCUACGGAUGGUCACCCACAUACAGACAAACUGCAACUGGAGCUGAAAAAGUUGACCUAUUCAGGAGAAUACAACUGCCAGUAUAAAACGGCGAAGGUGUACUUUUUUCUUCGAGUGAGGGAAAGAGAAGAUGACUGAAAGUGGCGACAGGCAGAAAACUAGCAGAAAACCAAAGGACAACAGAGAAGAGAGGAAAAAGGAAGAUAUGGAUGAAACUCAUGCAGAUGUAAUGGCAGCUGAGUCUACGUCCUUCUAUGCUAGUCUUGAGACUCGACCCAGGUCCAUCUAUGAUGUUCUGGACCACUCAGCUGCCAGCAGAGAGCCGGACCGGAGGAAACCUAAACCAAAGAAAAAGAAACCCCCAAAAACGGUGGCGCAAACUACAGAGCAGCAGGAUGAAGGUGUGUUUGAGUGUGUUUAUGAAAACUUCUGAAUCGUUAAUAAACUUAUUCCAGUAGACUAUGAUAUUCAUAUCAGCAGCUGUAAUAUGUAUCAUUGCUUUCCUAUUUUGAUGUCAUACGUAACAGUAACAGAAUAACUUAGAUUCUGUACCUCAGUGUAAGUAGCAAAACCACAAUGUGAAAAUACUCAAUAAAGGUACAAAUAAAGGUUUUGCUUUUAAAACAUGUAAAUAAAAAUGUACAAGAGUAUUAAAAAAUGUGCUCAGAGUAUUAAAAUAACUAACCAAGC